AAAAAAACAAACCCUAGGUUUCCGUGUCCAACGUUUGACUAUCCGUCUUAUAUGAAAUUUUUUAUAAUUAGUAUUUUCAUUGUUGUUAGAUGAUAAAACAUGAUUAAUACUUUAUGCGUGACUUGUCUUUUUAAAAAUUUUUCAUAUUUUUUUCAAAUAAGACGGACGGUCAAACGUUGGACACGGAAACCAGAGUUUGUCUUUUUU
rfam:Oryza sativa Japonica Group DNA, chromosome 1, cultivar: Nipponbare, complete sequence.